CUGUUUGGCUCAGAUGGUGAAAGAAUCUGCCUGCAAUGCAGAAGACCCAGGUUUGAUACCUGGAUCAG
rfam:Ovis aries breed Texel chromosome 1, whole genome shotgun sequence.